CCUACGGGUGGCAGCAGUGAGGAAUAUUGGUCAAUGGGCGUAAGCCUGAACCAGCCAAGUCGCGUGAGGGAUGAAGGUUCUAUGGAUCGUAAACCUCUUUUAUAAGGGCAUACAGUGUGGGACGUGUCCUAUUUUAUAUGUACCUUAUGAAUAAGGAACGGCUAACUCCGUGCCAGCAGCCGCGGUAAUACGGAGGAUCCGAGCGUUAUCCGGAUUUAUUGGGUUUAAAGGGUGCGUAGGCGGCCUUUUAAGUCAGCGGGGAAAGUCUGAGGCUCAACCAUAGAAUUGCCGUUGAAACUGGGGGGCGUGAGGAUGUUUGGGGCAGGCGGAAUGCGGGGGGGAGCGGUGAAAUGCUUAGAUAUCACGCAGAACCCCGAAUGCGAAGGGAGCCUGCCAAGCCAUGACUGACGCUGAUGCACGAAAGCGUGGGGAUCAAACAGGAGUAGAUACCCGUGUAGUC
rnacentral:rRNA from 1 species